AAAACAAUCCUACGGGAGGCAGCAGUGGGGAAUAUUGGACAAUGGGCGGAAGCCUGAUCCAGCCAUGCCGCGUGUGUGAAGAAGGCCUUUUGGUUGUAAAGCACUUUAAGCGAGGAGGAGGCUCUCCUAGUUAAUACCUAGGAAGAGUGGACGUUACUCGCAGAAUAAGCACCGGCUAACUCUGUGCCAGCAGCCGCGGUAAUACAGAGGGUGCGAGCGUUAAUCGGAUUUACUGGGCGUAAAGCGUGCGUAGGCGGCUGAUUAAGUCGGAUGUGAAAUCCCUGAGCUUAACUUAGGAAUUGCAUUCGAUACUGGUCAGCUAGAGUAUGGGAGAGGAUGG
rnacentral:rRNA from 1 species